rnacentral:sRNA from 1 species
UUCGAUUCGAGCGCAGCGAGAAAGCGUUGCCGCAGGCAACGACCCGAAGGGCGAAGCGCGCAGCGCUGAGUAAUCCUUCCCCCAUCACCA